CACAGUGAGAUCCGAGUUGGUCCUCCACCCAAGGUCUGCCAAAUUGUAGAGGUUUGUGCAUUGCUGCACAACAUCUGCAAAGCAAGAAACAUCAUUCUUCCUGAGGAAGAAGAACAUCUUGCUGCAGCCGAGGAUGGAGGCAACGAGGAGCGACCCCCAGCACAGAAAAUUCAGUCGCCAUGAAGGAAUCCUUUACAGAGAUGAAUUUGUUGUGCUUCACUUAAACAUUGCUGAGUGAUGAGACACCAGUGUCAUGACUGCUGAGAUUGGUGUUAUUCUCAUGUGGAUGAUCUCCUCCUCAUCCACAUAGACCAGUGAUGUACCAGGCAAGUCUGGCCCCUGUUGGUGCCACAUCACUGGUGCUGGAAGUGGUGUGGCAGGUGCCUCCUCCUCCACACCCACUGCCUCGGUCACCACUUCUCUCUGUUGGGCUGCCUCUGCCACUUCCCCAGCAUCAUCUGCUGCCUGCACAGUGCACACUGCUGCUGGCAUCAUUAGUUC